rnacentral:rRNA from 1 species
AUACGGAGGGGGCUAGCGUUGUUCGGAAUUACUGGGCGUAAAGCGCACGUAGGCGGCUUUGUAAGUCAGAGGUGAAAGCCUGGAGCUCAACUCCAGAACUGCCUUUGAGACUGCAUCGCUUGAAUCCAGGAGAGGUCAGUGGAAUUCCGAGUGUAGAGGUGAAAUUCGUAGAUAUUCGGAAGAACACCAGUGGCGAAGGCGGCUGACUGGACUGGUAUUGACGCUGAGGUGCGAAAGCGUGGGGAGCAAACAGGAUUAGAUACCCCAGUAGUCC